rnacentral:lncRNA from 1 species
UCCAUUUUUAAUACAUUUUUUUGCUAUUUUUUGGCUAUAACUCUCUAAAUAUGCUUAUAUAGUUAUUUCCCUUACAAACCCGAGCAACGCCGGGCGAUACUGCUAGUUAAAUUUAAAUGUAAAAUUUAAUUUUGACACAAAUUAAACUUAAAUGUUGAAGUGAAUCGAACGGCUUUUGUGUGUUUCUUAAAUGACUUAUAAACACCUUCCACACUGCAAUUGUUUUCGUUCCAGCACACGAUCUCAGAUCAGGUCACUUGCUAUGCGAGUACAUCUCCCUAAAUUUAAAUGUUGAAGUGAAUCUAACGGCUUUUGUGUGUUUCUUAAAUGGCUUACAAACACCUUCCAUGCUGCAAUUGUUUUCGUUCCAGCACACGAUCUCAGAUCAGGUCACUUGCUAUGCGAGUACAUCUCCGUAAAUUUAAAUGUUGAAGUGAAUCGAACGUUUUUUUUUUGUGUGUUUCUUAAAUGGCUUACAAACACCUUCCACGCUGCAUUUGUUUUCGUUCCAGCACACGAUCUCAGAUCAAGUCACUUGCUAUGCGAGUACAUCUCCGUAAAUUAAAAUGUUGAAGUGAAUCUAACGGUUUUUUUUGUGUGUUCUUAAAUGGCUUACAAACAUCUUCCACACUGCAAUUGUUUUCGUUCCAGCACACGAUCUCAGAUCAGGUCACUUGCUAUGCGAGUACAUCUCUGUAAAUUUAAAUGUUGAAACUGAAUCUAACGGUUUUUUUUUGUGUGUUCUUAAACGGCUUACAAACAUCUUCCACACUGCAAUAAAAGAAUAAUAGUUAAUUUUGGGUUAAAAAUAAGUGAUAGAUACCUCAGAGUAUAGUGAAUGUAUGUUUUCAUUCAAAUAUAUACUUGCAAAACGUCUCUGAAUGAAAAUAUAUGGGAUGUCAAAAGUGGGACAAAAGAGGUCAAAAGUGGGACAGCAGGAAGUCCAUCAGUUGCACCAUAAUGGUGCGAUCUGAUAAGAAGUUACCUGUCCAAGAGGUGAGAGAUUGGUGGGGCCCUCUAGGGAGGAAGAUUUGACAGGUGAUUUUUUGCAUGUCAGGCACCAUAAAAAGGGUUUUUGUUUGUAUCUCAAGGAGCAGCAUUGCUUUCAUCAAACUUCUGUAAAGUGAGAGUCCUUUGGUGAGUGACGUAAGUCAGCAGGGGUCUUGUGGAUCUGAGUCACUGAAAGAUGUUCUGGUGGUCAUUGAGGGGACAGAGAGAAAGAGAGAGAGAGAGGAGGAGGGAAGGAAGGAAGUGAGAAAGAGAAAGAUGGAGAGAUGAAUAGAGGAAGAAAGACGAAGAGAGAAAGAUUCAAGGUGAUCCAGAACAUUGUUGCUAAUACCUGUCUCCACUACCUUAGAGAUGUGAUGAUGAUGAUGAUGAAGAGGAGGAGGAGGAGGAUAUAUCAGCUGAUAAUAGUGGUGUAAACAAUAAUGACAAGUCUCAGAAAGCUAUUGUUGCUGAUGAUAAUGAUUGUGGUGAUGGAGAUGAUGAUGAUGAGGAUGAUGAUGAUGAUGAUGAGGAUGUUGGUAAUGGUGGUGUCAGUGAUAGUAGUAGUUAGUGAUGAUGAUGAUGAUGAUGAUGAUGAUGAUGAUGAUUGUUCAAUUUCUUCAUCAGUUCUGCAGAAAAAGGCUACAGCAUGGUCGUCAAAGAUGUCAGUCCUCAGAUGGCGCAACACGUGAAGAUCAACUCUGCCUCUAUCAUGGCCUACAACCUCUCGCUCAUUGGUAAUAACUGUAUUAUGUUCUUUAAUGGUGGUGGUGGUAUGGAUGGUCUUGGUGGUGGUGGUGGUGGUGGUGGUGGUGGUGGUGGUGGUAAUGGUAAUACUAGUUGUUUGAAGGCGGUGAGCUGGCAGAAACGUUAGCACGCCGGGCGAAGUGCUUAGCGGUAUUUCGUCUGCUGUUACGUUCUGAGUUCAAAUUCCACCGAGGUCGACUUUGCCUUUCAUCCUUUCGGGGUCGAUAAAUUAAGUACAGUUACGCACUGGGGUCAACAUAAUCAACUUAAUCCAUUUGUCUGUCCUUGUUUGUCCUCUCUGUGUUUAACCCCUUGUGGGUAGUAAAGAAAUAAGUAUUUCGUCCGUCUUUACAUUCUGAGUUCAAAUUCCGCCGAGGUCGACUUUGCCUUUCAUCCUUUCGGGGUCAAUUAAAUAAGUACCAGUUACGCACUGGGGUCGAUAUAAUCGACUUAAUCCAUUUGUCUGUCCUUGUUUGUCCUCUCUGUGUUAGCCCCUUGUGGGUAGUAAAGAAAUAGGUAAUACUAGUUGUGGUUGAGCAAACUAUAUGGUGUGUAGAGGCACAUGGCCUAGUGGUUAGAGCAGCAGACUCGCGGUCGAGAGAUCGUGGGUUCGAAUCUCAGACCGGGCGAUGUGUGUGUUUAUGAACGAAAACACCUAAGCUCCACGCGGCUCCGGCAGAAGGAAAUGACGAAACUUCUGCUGACUCUUUCGCCUCAACUUUCUCUCACUCUUUUCUCCUGCAUCUUGCAGCUCACCUGCGAUGGACUGGCGUCCCAUCCAGGUGGGGAACCUAUAUGCCAAGAAACCGAGAAAUCGGCCCUAAUGAGCCAGGCGUGGCUUGAGAAGGAACAAACGAAAAAAACUAUAUAGUGUGGUUCUCAAAUCUUUUCAAACUCAUGCUUCACUGAAGAUCAAAUUCCCCUCUGCCCUCAAAGGUUACUGGUACCCCACUAAACACAAAUUACUGGAAUGCUCCAUAUAGAAAGUUAAAAGAAAAAUUGUUUUAAAGCUAACAGUGUCAGUGUUGGUCGACUAUUGUGGUCCAGCCUAGCACUUUGUUCAUCUGUGGACCCUUGUGGGGGAUCCUUGUUUCUUAUUUCUUUAUUGCCCACAAGGGGCUAAACAUAGAGGGGACAAACAAGAACUGACAAAAUGAUUAAGUCAAUUACAUCGACCCCAGCGCGUAACUGUACUUAUUUAAUUGACCCCGAAAGGAUGAAAGGCAAAGUCGACCUCGGUGGAAUUUGAACUCAGAACUUAGCGACAGGCAAAAAAAACAAGGGGCUAAACACAGAGGGAACAAACAAGGAAAGACAAAGGGAUUAAGUCGAUUACAUCAACCCCAGUGUGUAACUGGUACUUAAUUUAUCGACCCCGAAAGGAUGAAAGGCAAAGUCGACCUCGGUGGAAUUUGAACUCAGAACGUAAUGGCAGACGAAAUACCACAAGCAUUUCGCCCGGUGUGCUAACGUUUCUUAUUUCUUUAUUGCCCACAAGGGGUUAAACAUAGUGGGGACAAACAAGGACAGACAAAGAGAUUAAGUUGAUAACAUCGACCCCAGUAACAAAUAAUAGAAUAAAAGAAUAUAUAUAUAUAUAUAUAUAUAUAUAUAUAUAUAUACAUACAUAUAUAAAACUAUUUAGUAUCUUGCAGGGUUUAUAAUCAGGGUUUAUAAUCAAGGGCUGUAUCCUUAUUAAGCAUAUCUGCACAUUUCAAUAUUCAAAAUUAUGUAUGAAGGGGUGCUGAAAAGUUUCUGGCUUCCAAGGUAUUGUGAAAGGCUUGGGCUGGAGGCCCAACAUUUCUGAGGUUUUUUACAGGGCUAAUAAAAACUGAAGGACUGCUGUAUUAAGUGUGUGGAUGUGAGAGAGGAAUAUGUUGAAUAAAAUCAUAAUUAACUGAUCCUCCUGAACUUUCCUUAACUCAAAACCAUGAACUUUCAGCACAACCUCAUAUAUAUAUAUAAGUUCAGCAAAAUUUAGAUUCAGAUGAAUAUGGUACUUAAGUUGAAGGCAUCAGACUUUGGUAUGGUAUCAUCCAUAUAAAUCAAAUGGGGUGAUUAUAAUCAAAAUAAGCAACAAGGAUAUCCAAGGUAGUAUAGUACAUUUUAUUAAACACUUUUAAAACUGAUGUAAUACUUACAGUGUUUAAUAGAAUGAAGUAGUAUGAAACGAUUGUGCUACACUACCUUGGAUAUCCUUCUUGCUUAUUUUUAUAUAUAUAUAUUUUACUCUUUUACUUGUUUUCAGUCAUUUGACUGUGGCCAUGCUGGAGCACCGCCUUUAAUCGAGCAACUCGACCCCGGGACUUAUUCUUUUGUAAGCCCAGUACUUAUUCUAUUGGUCUCUUUUGCCGAACUGCUAAGUAACGGGAACAUAAACACACCCGCAUCGGUUGUCAAGCAAUGCUAGGGGACAAACACAGACACACAAACACACACACGCAUAUAUAUAUAUAUAUAUAUACAUAUAUACGACGGGCUUCUUUCAGUUUCCGUCUACCAAAUCCACUCACAAGGCUUUGGUCGGCCCGAGGCUAUAGUAGAAGACACUUGCACAAGGUGCCAUGCAGUGGGACUGAACCCAGAACCAUGUGGCUGGUAGACAAGCUACUUACUACACAGCCACUCCUGUGCCUAUAUAUAUAUAUAUAUAUAUACACACACACACAAAGGGGUGUUGGAAAAUUCUUGGUUGGAGGGCCCAACCUUCUCAGUUCUUUUACACGGCUUAGAAUAACUGAAGGACCACUGUAAUAAGUGUGUGAAUCUGAGAAGGGAAUAUGUUGAAUAAAAUCAUGAUUUAAUAGAUCCUCCUGUAUUUGGUUUUACCCAAAGCCAGGAGGUUUUCUACACCCCUUCAUACAUGUAGAAAACACAUAUGAAGUCUUCUAUUGGUAAUUCAUUAAAUAUUUUUAAAAAUACCCCCCAAAAAAAAACCCCAACAAAAAACAAGCUAUUUCCUCGUUUCAUUAAUUAUACUUGUGUUGAAGUAAAUUAUGAAUUACAUAUUUUCCAAGAAGACUGUUUUAAAUAUUUCCAUUCUACAGCAAUGAAUUUUAAAAUAGGAAACUGAGGAACAGAAUAUGGUGUUUUGAUUUUGAGGUUUAAGUGACAUUGAUUAUUUGCAAUGUAGGAGUGGCUGUGCGGUAAGUAGUUUGCUUGCCAACCACAUAGUUCCGGGUUCAGUCCCACUGUGUGGCACCUUGGGCAAGUGUCUUCUACUAUAGCCUUGGGCCGGACAAAGCCUUCUGAGUGGAUUUGGUAGACGGAAACUGAAAGAAGCCCGUCGUAUAUAUGUAUAUGUAUAUAUAUAUGUAUGUGUGUGUGUAUACGUUUGUGUGUCUGUGUUUGUACCCCCAGCAUCGCUUGACAGCCGAUGCUGGUGUGUUUACGUCCCCGUAACUUAGCAGUUCAGCAAAAGAGACUGAUAAAAUAACUACUAGGCUUACAAAGAAUAAGUCCUGGGGGUCGAUUUGCUCGACUAAAAAAGGUGGUGCUCCUUCAUGGCCACAGUCAAAUGACUGAAACAAGUAAAAGAGUAAAAGAGAAAAGUUGCAAAUUUAUCCUUUCGUGGGUGUGGGUGGGGUUACUUUUUGGCCCUCUUCAUUAUCAUCACCCCUACCACCACCACCAUCAUCAUCAUCAUCAUCAUUAUCAUCAUUGUUAUCGUUAUCAUCAUCACUAUCAUCGUCAUUGUUAUCUCCAUCAUCAUAAGGUGGCAAGCUGGCAGAAUCGUUAGCAUGCUGGGUGAAAUAUGCUUAGCGUUCGGAGUUCAAUUCUGCCGAGGUCAACUUUGCCUUUCAUCCUUUUGGCCCAUUGUGUAACAUAAUUUUUGUCCUUGGGUAACAACUGUUAUUUGGUAUUUCCUAUCCCUAGAAAGUAUGAAAAAUAUCUAAUAAUCCUUCAAACUUUGCUUUUGUUACAUUUAUUCAAACCCCAAAGAAUCCCUUUCAGCACAUGGCUACAGUGCUCCCCCCCCCCCCCCCAGCACAUAUUGUCAGCCACUGAGGGACGUGCUCAAGUGGUUAAGAUCAAGCAACUGAUAAACAAAUCUGUGGUAUUGAGUAGAAUAUUUGUUAUAAUGAUAUCUCUGCUUCAGCAACUCAGCACUAAAUCUGUCUGAAGUGUAAUGGAAAAAUAGGACAGUUUCAAGGCAUUGAUGUCCAGUUCUCAAAAGCAAAGUUUGGAAGGGAAUAGUAGUCAUUUCCCUUUAUUUCUAGACGGAAGCAAAUAACACUUACAGAUCAAAGACAAAAAAUAUAUAAAUAGAUUAUUUACAUUAUUUACAUUCGAUGGAUUUUUGUCCUUAUCUUGUUUGUUGUUAACACAACGUUUUGGCUGAUAUACCCUCCAGCCUUCAUCAGGUGUCUUGGGGAAAUUUCGAACCUGGGUUCUCAAUACUAAGGUAUUUUUCAAUGUUAUUAUUAUUAUUAUUAUUAUUAUUAUUAUUAUUAUUGUUUAGGUCACUGCUUGGAAUCGAACUUGAAAUCUUCAGGUUAAUAGCCCACGCUCUUAACCACUACACCCAUGGGCAUAUGGCUUAGUGGUUUAUAGCACGGGCUACUAACCCCAAGAUUCCAAGUUCGAUUCCAAGCAGUGACCUGAAUAAUAAUAAAGAUAAUAAUAAUAAUAAUAAUAAUAACAUUGAAAAAUACCUUAGGAAUGAGAACCCAGGUUUUAAAUUUCCCCAAGAUAUCUGAUGAAGGCUGGAGGGUAUUUCAGCCAAAACGUUGUGUUAACAACAAACAAGAUGAGGACAAAUAUCCGUUGAAUGUAAAUAAUGUACAUAAUUCCUCAUCUCUAAAAUAUAGAACUGUAUAAUAUAAAUAAAUGAAUUAAAAUUUUGUUAAAAUGUUAUUAAUGGUUAACAGAAGGAUUUAAUUAGGUUUCACGAGCUUAAUUACCUCUAGUUGAUCUCAUAAAACCAUUAUGUCUUUUCUCUGUUCAGGUGGGGUUUUUUUUUAUUUAUCCAUAUAAAGGUGAUGUUUCUUUUUGCAGGUUACUAUGAUAGAUGUGAAAAACUACUGUCAGAAAAUUUGGGGAAAAUUCCAUCACAUCAUCCCAGUUUAGCUAUUAUGUUAAAUACAAUGGGUAUUAAUUAUGAAAGGAGUGAGUAUAAUAGUUUUUAUUUAUUGUUGUAUUUCGUCUUCCUUUUCUAUUGGACUUUCCACUGUUUCCGAAGAAGAGCUCUGCUUGAAAUGUAAAACCACCCUUCUUUCCUUUCCCAAGCUUUUGCUAAUACUUUACAUGUACCAUGUCCUUGCAUUGUUGUUUUUUUGUGUUUGUUCUUCAUUUUUUUGGAUUUACUAUAUAUAUAUAUAUAUAAAAGCAAUAAAGAUUCAAGUUAAUUUAAAUGAAUUUACUUGAAUAUGGUACCUAACUUAGAUGCACCAAAAAAAAAACUAUACUGAUUUAACAAUACAGUAAUGUGGGGUGAUUAUAAGCGAGAAUGAAGCAACAAGAAUGGAUAGGUUUUUAGUACAAUCGUUUCAUACAAGGACAGGUUUUAUUAAAAGUUGCAAAAUUACAGCAUAUAAACGUGUCCCGUACUCAUCAGCUAAAAUACAUGUGAGUUCUCUAGACAUCCUAGACAACCACUAGGAUGUCUAGAGAACUCACAUGUAUUUUAGCUGAUGAGUACGGGACACGUUUAUAUGCUGUAAUUUUUGCAACUUUUAAUAAAACCUGUCCUUGUAUGAAACGAUUGUACUAAAAACCUAUCCAUUCUUGUUGCUUCAUUCUCGCGUAUAUAUAUAUAUAUAUAUAACACUAGGGUAAUAAGAAUUAUAGGAAUUAUUAUUACCAGUGGCCUAGCACAGAAAAGAAUUAGUCAAUAGACUAUAUAUUAUUCACAUAAAAAUAUCGUGUACAUUAAAACACAUUAAGAGGCUUCCAAAUAGGAAAGCCUUGUGCUAGAAAGAGCAGUAGAAAACUCAAACCACUAACUAGGGAUAAAUUCUUGAAAGGAAUGAAAAUUAAAAACGUCUACCAUUUCUACUGCUCUUUCUAGCACAAGGCUUUCCUAUUUGGAAACCUCUUAAUGUAUUUUAAUGUACACAAUAUUUUUAUGUAUAUAUAUAUAUAUAUAUAUAUAUAUAUAUAUAUAUAUAUAUAUAUGGGUGUCAAGAUGACCUGUACCCCACAGCAGAAGUGUUAAGACUGAAACUUCUGGUUGUGUAAAGCACCCAUAUUGAUGCCAUGUAAAAGUAUCCAUGUGGCGACAUGUAGAAGCACCUGUGUGGCGUCACAAAAAAGCCUCCAAGCAGUGUCACAUAGAAGUUCUUGUGUGGUGGCAUGUAAAAAUGCCCAUGUGGUGCUCAUGUGGUCCCAUGUAAAAGGAUCCUGCACACUUUGUAAAGUGGUUGGCAUUAGGAAGGGCAUCCAGCCACAGAAACCAUGCCGAAUUAGACUAGGGUCUCGUACAGCUACCCAGCCUGCCAGCUCUGGUUGCAUCAUCCAACCUAUGCCAGGAGAGACAAUGGACGUAAUAUGGUGAUGAUGAUGAUGAUGAUGAUGGUAAUGGAAAUUUUUUUUUCUAUUCUUUUUGUAUUUUUUGACUUCAGUUUUAAAUUUCUGAUCCUGCCACAUGUGUGAGGAGAUAGUUACCUCCCUUUGCAUUAACUGCCAUCCAGAGGUCACCACAUGUGUCUUCAGACAUUUUUACCUGAUAUUUCAUUUUCUCUUUCCACAGAAGGCUCACAGAAUGACGAAGCGUUCAUUUUUUAUAAUGCUUCUCUAAGGGAAAGAAUGAAAGUUGCUCCAAUAAAUCCCAGAUUAUCUGUCGUGGCGAAUUGUAAUGUAGCAAAAUUAAUGUCUCGUGAUCGUGGAAACCAUGGUAAGUAUUCUUUUGUCAAGUCUUACUUCUAAAAUCUAUGAGGUGAGUGUUGAAAAGUUCCUGGCUUUAAAGAUAUUGCAAAAGGCCUUGCAUGUUGGAUCAACUUUCUAAAUUCUUUUACAGGGUUUAGAAAAAACUGAAGGACUGCCGCAAUCAUCAUCAUCAUCAUCAUCAUCAUCGUCAUCGUUUAACGUCUGCUUUCCAUGCUAGCAUGGGUUGGACGGUUUGACUGUGGGCUGUCGAACCAGAUGGCUGCACCAGGCUCCAGUCUUGAUCUGGCAGAGUUUCUACAGCUGGAUGCCCUUCCUAACACCAACCACUCCGAGAGUGUAGUGGGUGCUUUUACAUGUCACCGGCAUGGGGCCCAGUCAAGCAGUACUGGCAGCGACCUCGCUCGAAUUUUUUCCACAUGCCAACAGCACAGGUGCCAGUAAGGUGAUGCACAGGUGCCAGUAAGGUGCCUCCUACAUGGCACCGGCACGGAAGCCAGUUAGCUGCUCUGGCAACGAUCAUACUCAAAUGGUGCUCGUAGCACCCUACUAGCAUGGGGCACAAGUGCCAGUAAGGUGAAGCUGGUAACGAUCUCACUCAAAUGGUGCCUCCUACAUUCCACUGGCACAGAAGCCAGUUAGCUGCUCUAGCAACGAUCAUGCUCGGAUGGUGCUCGUAGCACCCUACUAGCAUGGGGCACAAGUGCCAGUAAGGUGAAGCUGGUAACGUUCUCACUCGAAUGGUGCCUCCUACAUGGCACCGGCACAGAAGCCAGUUAGCUGCUCUAGCAACGAUCAUACUCAGAUGGUGCUCGUAGCACCCUACUAGCAUGGGGCACAAGUGCCAGUAAGGUGAAGCUGGCAAUGAUCACACUCAAAUGGUGCCUUUUAUGUGCCACUGGCACAGAAGCCAGUUAGCUGCUCUGUCAACGAUCAUGCUUGUAGAGUGCUCGUGCCCGUCAUCGAAUUUCACUUUGAUUUUAAUUUUGAUUUCACUUGCCUCAACAACAAGUGUGUAAAACAGAGGGGAAUAUGUUGAGUAAAAUCAUAACUGAUCCUCCUGUAUUUUCUUUUACCAAAAGCCAGGAUCUUUUCAACACCCUCUCAUACAUAUAUAAUCACAUUCUUUUUGAGGGGGUGCUGAAAAGUCCUUAGCCUUAAGGAUAUUGAGAAAGGCAUGGUUGGAGGCCCAACCUCCUGAGUUCUUUUACAGGGGUUAGAAAAACUGAAGGACCUCUGCAAUAAGUAUGUGAAUCUGAGAGGGGAAUAUGUUGGCUAAAAUCAUAAUUUUCUGAUCCUCCUCUAUUUUCUUUUGCCCAAAAGCCUGGAUCUUUUCAACACCCUCUCAUACAUAUAUAAUCACAUGCUUUUUGAGGGGGUGCUGAAAAGUCCUUGGCAUUAAGGAUAUUCAGAAAGGCCUGUUUGGAGGCCCAACCUCCUGAGUUCUUUUACAGGGGUUAGAAAAACUGAAGGACCACAGCAAUAAGUGUGUGAAUCUGAGAGGGGAAUAUAUUGAAUAAAAUCAUAAUUUUCUGAUCCUCCUGUAUUUUCUUUUACGAAAAGCCUGGAACUUUUCAGCACCUCCUCAAAUUUUUAGUACAAGCCCUCAGGCAUUCAGUCUGCUAGAAAUAACAGGAGAAUCUCAUUGAACUCAUGCUUAGGAGCAAACAUAAUUGCGUAGUGCGUGGUUAAGAGAUGUUUACUUCUCAAUCAUGUGGUUUUGGGGUCUAUCUCACUUUGGGGUACUUUAUACUGGAUGGAAGCACUCCGUCGGUUACGACGAUGAGGGUUCCGGUUGAUCUAAAUCAACGGAACAGCCUGCUCGUGAAAUUAACAUGUAAGUGGCUGAGCACUCCUCAGACACGUGUACCCUUAACGUAGUUCUCGGGGAUAUUCAGCAUGACACAGAGAGUGACAAGGCCGGCCCUUUGAAAUACAGGUACAGCAGAAACAGGAAGUAAGAGUGAGAGAAAGUUGUGGUGAAAGAGUACAGCAGGGAUCACCACCAUCCCCUGCCGGAGUAUUGUGGAGCUUUUAGGUGUUUUCGCUCAAUAAACACUCACAACGCCCGGUCUGGGAAUCGAAACUGCGAUCCUACGACCGCGAGUCCGCUGCCCUAACCACUGGGCCAUUGCGCCUCCACAAUUUAAAUAUAUAGUUACUCACACUCAUACAUACACAAAUACAGAUAUAUAUAUAUAUAUACACGCAUACAUACUUAUUCACAGACCACACACACAUACAAGCCUGUAUAUGUAUGUGCAUACGUACAUAUAUACACAAACACGCAUGCAAGCAUGCAUAUAUAUAUGCAUACAUACAUACAUGUACAUGCACAUUGUGGCCUCAGAAUCUCCUGCAACUCUUCUGGAUGGUCUCCUUGUUUAAGUUGGUGAAUGCUGCCAUAAUCCUUGCCUUCAGUUCAUCUUUGGCAUUACAAGGAAUUUUGUUGGUCUCUUGCUUAACUGUGCCCCACACAUAAUAAUCAAAGGGGUUGUAAUCUGGGGAGCUAUUUAGCUAGAUGUUAGGGGUAGUGUGGUCGCAGAAAUUGUCUGACAGCCAUGACAGGGUUCUCCUUCUUGUGUGACAUGGCACAGAGUCCUGUUGCCAGACACAAGGUCUUCCAGUAGUCACCCUCUUGACCCAGGGCAGCACUACCUCUUCCAGGAACUUGAUGAUGUAGGCUUCUCUGUUGAGUCUGAAGCUGUGUGGGAAGAUGAAUGGAGGCACAACGUCAACAUCGCUGGUGAUCACUCUAAACACUAUGAUGUUGACUGGAUGUUUGAUUAUCGUAACCCUCGGUACAUGUUUUGAGGAAAUGGCAAGCCGAUGGUUGUUCUGUCAGAUGAGUGAAACAAGCAAAUAUUUAAAGAAUAUAUGUAAUAUAUACUCUUUUACUCUCUCUCUUUUACUCUUACUUGUUUCAGUCAUUUGACUGCGGCCAUGCUGGAGCACCGCCUUUAGUCGAGCAAAUCGACCCUGGGACUUAUUCUUUGUAAGCCCAGUACUUAUUCUAUCGGUCUCUUUUUGCCGAACCGCUAAGUUACGGGGACAUAAACACACCAGCAUUGGUUGUCAAGCGAUGGUGGGGGGACAAACACAGACACACAAACAUAUACACACAUACAUACAUAUAUAUAUACAUAUAUACGACAGGCUUCUUUCAGUUUCCGUUUACCAAAUCUACUCACAAGGCAUUGGUCGGCCCAGGGGUAUAGCAGAAGACACCUGCCCAAGAUGCCACGCAGUGGGACUAAACUCGGAACCAUGUGGUUGGUAAGCAAGCUACUUACCACGCAGCCACUCCUGUGCCUAUAGCCACUCCUGCGCCUAUAUAUAUAUAUAUAUAUAUAUAUGUGGAAGCACUUUUCUUAGUGGUUUGGCUGUCAGCAUCAUGAUCGUAAGGUUGUGGUUUCGAUUCCUGGACCGGGCGACGCGUUGUGUUCUUGAGCAAAGCACUUCAUUUCACGUUGCUCUAGUUCACUCAGCUGGCAAAAAAUGAGUAACGCUGCGACGGACUGGCGUCCCUUCCAUCUGGGGAACACAUACGCCAUUGAAACCGGGAGACGGGGCCCAUGAGCCUGGCUAGGUUUUGAAAGGACGCAUUUAUUUGUUUUAUAUAUAUAUAGUUGAAAAGGGGUUAAUAAUUCAUACAAAUCAAAAGUUAUAGUUAAAAAGUAAAGGGAGAAACAACAGAUGAGUAUCCUUCUUUUUCUUCUCUUUUCUUUUAUUUGUUUCAGUCAUUUUACUGUGGCCAUGCUGGAGCACCAUUCUUAGUCGGGGAAAUCGAUACCCGUACUUAUUUUUUGUAAGCCUAGUACUUAUUCUAUCGGUCUCUCUUGCCAAACUGCUAAGUGACGGGGACGUAAUCACACCAGCAUCGGUAGUCAAGCGAUGUUGGGCGGGGGACAAACACAGACACACACACAUAUAUAUACAAA